CCAGAGAUGGCGGGCCCCCGCGCCCCCGUCCCCAACCCUUUGUUGACCAAACCCUUUUGCCUCGGGGGCAGAGCGUCCGCCGCCGCCCCCGGAGGACCAUCAAACGCUGUCUCUGUACGUCGGAGUCAAAUGCAAAUGAAUGA
rnacentral:misc_RNA from 2 species